AGGAUGAAUAAUCGCGGCUGUCCGUUCUUUUUUCGAAAAGGCGGCAGGUGAGGAAAGUCCGGGCUUCACAGGGCAGGAUGCCGGAUAACGUCCGGUGGAGGCGACUCCAAGGCCAGUGCAACAGAAAUAAACCGCCCCGGAAGGCUUCGGAAACGAAGCGCUUUUCGGAAAGGGCCUUUGGGCCUGGUAAGGGUGGAAAGGCAGAGUAAGAGACUACCGCCCGUCUGGUAACAGGCGGGGCACAUGUAAACCCCAUCCGAAGCAAGACCAAACAGAAAGCGACAGGCUUGCCCGGCCUGCUUUCAGGUAGGUUGCUUGAGGCUGCCGGCAACGGCAGUCCUGGAUAGAUGAUUAUUCACGACAUAACCCGGCUUACAGUCCUGCUCAU
rnacentral:RNase_P_RNA from 1 species